GUUCAGGAAAGGUGUACAUGUUUUAAAUAAUUUGUAUCGGGAUUUUCCCACAUCUAUUAAUAGCAAUGGUUUGUUCAUGCAAUUUCUACAUGUUCUAUUUACUGUUUUUGUUCUGUUAAAUUCUAUUGGUUCUAAUAAUGCACUUAUAUUGUUAUAUUUUGUUUUAGUUGAAGUCGAUUGUAUCAAUUUUGUUUUUAUUUUUGCAGGUAC
rnacentral:lncRNA from 1 species